rnacentral:rRNA from 1 species
UAAUACGUAGGGGGCAAGCGUUGUCCGGAUUUAUUGGGCGUAAAGAGCGUGUAGGCGGCCGUGUAGGUCUGACGUGAAAUCUGGAGGCUCAACCUCCAGCUGUCGUUGGAAACCGCUCGGCUAGAGUCCGGAAGAGGAGAGUGGAAUUCCUGGUGUAGCGGUGAAAUGCGCAGAUAUCAGGAAGAACACCUAUGGCGAAGGCAGCUCUCUGGGACGGUACUGACGCUGAGACGCGAAAGCGUGGGGAGCGAACAGGAUUAGAUACCCUGGUAGUCCACGCCGUAAACGAUGGGUGCUAGGUGUGGGCGGUGUCGACUCCGUCCGUGCCGAAGCUAACGCAUUAAGCACCCCGCCUGGGGAGUACGGCCGCAAGGCUA